rnacentral:rRNA from 1 species
ACAUGGAGCUUCCAUUGGUACAGAUCUUGGUGGUAGUAGCAAAUAAUCGAAUGAGACCUUGGAGGACUGAAGUGGAGAAGGGUUUCGUGUGAACAGUGGUUGAUCACGAGUUAGUCGGUCCUAAGCUCAAGGCGAAAGCCGUAGAAAUGUAUAAAGUUUUACCAGUCUAGUAUAUAUAUAUAAUUUUUUAUAAAUUAGAUAUAUAUACACUCGGUAUAUAAUAUACUUUAUAUAUAUAAUUGAGCGAAAGGGAAUACGGUUCCAAUUCCGUAACCUGUUGAGUAUACGUUUGUAAUAAAUAUGGUCAUUAUGAUCAUCCUGGUAACAGAAACAAUCAUAGAGAAGCCGUCGAGAGAUAUCGGAAGAGUUUUCUUUUCUGUUUUAUAGUUGUAUUACCAUGGAAGUCUUUCGAAGAGAGAUAUGGUAAAUGAACUAGAAGAGCAUGGCAUUUACUGCUGUGUCGAUAUUUUCUCCUCGGACCUUGAAAAUCUAUGAUUGGGCCACGCAAACUUCUCAACAGGCCGUACCAAUAUCCGCAGCUGGUCUCCAAGGUGAAGA